AAUGAGUUGAGUUCACUGCCACAAUGUUUGCAGGUUAUGGAGGAGAGUACAGAAGGUCACAUGCAUGGAUGAAACGUCAGCCCAGUCAGGUUGAUGCAAGACUGAUUGGAGGUCCUCCCACGUCAGGGUCGAGGAUGUGAACCUGCAGGACGGUGACAUUCUUGAGGAUGUUUCCCCUCAAAGCCCUGAGCCAACAUUCUUUUGAUGAUCUCACCGUGAUCCAUCAUCAGAUGGGAUGGAUCCUGAAAGUGCCAUCCGUCAAAAAAUCCUCAACAUGCAGCGGCCCUCUUCUCCGAUGGGAAGGUGAUGUAGUGCUUCAGAUACCAUAACACAUGCUUUCACUUUUUCACUCCUUUUUUUUUUCUUCUUACUGUAAGAAUCCAUUUUUUAAUCUAAUGUCACCUCAUUAAAAGAUUUUAUUCAUGCAUCUUGUUUCCAUCCAAAUUUACAAGACCCCAUUUUUCCUCAUUCCACGUAAUCAACAAUUAACUGUGGUUUUAAAUAUCCAUCUGCUAGGAUAAAACAUCCAUUUCAGAAAUGACGACAAUUUAUUUGUUUUUUUGGACUCUCGCCUGUGCCCAAAUGAAGACACCGUGGCAUAAAUCGUCUUCGGUUAUUGUCCGCUUCCAUCAAUCGUGCCAUUUUGCGCUGAUGCAAAGUAAUCUAUAUGAGAAUGAUUGUCUCCCAGAGAGCACACAAAAAGCUGUUAGUCGAGUUUGCUGGCAACAAUUUGUGUUGUUAUUACACAAGGCUUACAUAAAUAUGCUGAGAUGACACAUCCCUUCUAUUAGAACUGCUUUUAGAUUCUGACCUCGUCUUUAUUUGUUCAAUUGAAGAGAGUAUAAAGUGAGGAUUGGUCCAAUUGACUUUUUAUUAUGUGUGUAUUGUCGGUAAAAGCACGUUUUAAAGUAUUAGAAGUCACUAUUGGGAUUUUCGAUUCAUGGUUAAAUGGCUUUCCGUAAUAAUGCAAAGUAAGUUAGCAAGAACUUCAAGCCAACCUUUAAUUACCGUAUUUUCCGGACUAUAAGGCGCACCUAAAAACCUCAAAUUUUCUCAAAAGCCGACAGUGCGCCUUAUAGUCCGGUGCGCCUCAUAUAUGGACCAAAUUCCUAAAUUUAAACUGGCUGGCCCGAAGCAUUGUGUCAUGAAAUCAAUCAUAAGUGGCCCGCUGAAGACUAUGAAUCAUGAAUCAAAAAGACUAUGGAUCAUUAUUUUGUGAUUAUAAAGUUAAUUUGUUGCGUCUGAAGUUGAAAUAAAAAAGAUCAAAUGGAGAAUGAUUUGAUUUGGAUUAAAAAUCUGACAUGAUGCAUUAAUGGUGCGCCUUAUAGUCCGGUGCGCCUUAUAUAAGGACAAAGUUUUAAAAAAGGCCAUUCAUUGAAGGUGCGCCUUAUAGUCCGGUGCGCCUUCUAGUCCGGAAAAAACGGUAAUCUUCACAAAUUCUAACUCAUUGUCCAGAUCAAUUAUUCCCAAGGUCAUCCCAAUGACCAAACACAGUCAUGGUUUUAACCAGCGGUGGCCAAUUAGUCAUUGAGUAAUGUUUUUGGCUCUUGUUCUCACAUUGGCCAUUUUAAGGUCCAUUAAAAAAAGGCAGUGCAACACUCUGUCAAGCUCAUACUUGGCAAUGUUAUGGUUGAAGCAACCUUGAGGUGGAGGAGGAGAGUGUCAGUGGUGUCCUUACUUUGCUGCAGUUAUUCGCUUUAAUCACUGUGGUUUCUUUUUUUACGAUGUCGUCAUAGCGCCAAUAUUACGACAUAGCGACAUAAACCUUUCGAGAGAAUCGAAAGAAAACCUUUUGGAUUAUUUACAGGGCUUCUUGUAUGCACUCGUUGCCUGCACCAUCAUCGUCCAUUAAGUUAAUGAUUGAUGAUUUCCAUCAGUCUGUAUUGAUUGUUGAAAUUUCCUUCGAUGAAGCGCAGUGAAGACAAAUGGCCACUAGGGUAAAACUGCAAAGUGAGAUGAAAACCCAUAAUACAAAUUGGGCUGCAGUGAAGACAUUUAUGAAUUCAAUAAAGCCGUAAUAUUGUCAUUGAUUUUUAAUUACAGCCUUUUAUUGAUGUUCCCGAAGGCUGAGUGGACACGAGUGCUUGAUGAUAUCGUACAUGCUGAGCUGUGCAGAAUGAAUUUGACUUUUCGGGGAAGGCUUGAAUUGAUGAUUGGCCAUUUAUUCAUCAAUUCAAAUCAAUCCAAAGGCUUCCGAGGGAUGUUGUCACGUAGACGACCACGGGUCUCCUGUGAUCGAACCGCUACGCCUUAUCUAUCCUCUGAUCCACGGGUGUCAAAGUCAAGGCCCGGGGGCCAGAUAUGGCCCACCACAUUAUUUUAAGUGGCCCGCGAAGACAAAUCGAAUUCAUGUCAAUUCCAAAAUUUCACAAAUAAUAGAGAUAUUGUUAGCAAUGAAACAUUUUUUUAUGUUUAAAUAUUUGAUUUGAUUUCAAUGUUUCAUUUAUAAAUAUUUA